CUACGGGCCGCAGCAGUGAGGAAUAUUGCACAAUGGGGGGAACCCUGAUGCAGCAACGCCGCGUGGAGGAUGACGCAUUUCGGUGUGUAAACUCCUUUUAUAUGUCAAGAAAAUGACGGUAGCAUAUGAAUAAGCACCGGCUAACUCCGUGCCAGCAGCCGCGGUAAUACGGAGAGGUGCAAGCGUUACUCGGAAUCACUGGGCGUAAAGGACGCGUAGGCGGGUUGGAAAGUCAGGUGUGAAAUCCUACAGCUUAACUGUAGAACUGCACUUGAAACUUCUAAUCUAGAGUAUGGAGGGGGAGAUGGAAUUAGUGGUGUAGGGGUAAAAUCCGUAGAUAUCACUAGGAAUACCUAAAGCGAAGGCGAUCUCCUGGAACAUUACUGACGCUAAGGCGUGAAAGCGUGGGGAGCAAACAGGAUUAGAUACCCGAGUAGUC
rnacentral:rRNA from 1 species